rnacentral:rRNA from 1 species
AGAGUUUGAUCCUGGCUCAGAUUGAACGCUGGCGGCAUGCCUAACACAUGCAAGUCGAACGGUAACGCGGGGGCAACCCUGGCGACGAGUGGCGGACGGGUGAGUAAUACGUAGGAAUCUGCCCAAUAGUGGGGGACAACCCGGGGAAACCCGGGCUAAUACCGCAUACGCUCUACGGAGGAAAGCGGGGGAUCGUAAGACCUCGCGCUAAUGGAUGAGCCUACGUCGGAUUAGCUAGUUGGUAGGGUAACGGCCUACCAAGGCGACGAUCCGUAGCUGGUCUGAGAGGACGAUCAGCCACACUGGGACUGAGACACGGCCCAGACUCCUACGGGAGGCAGCAGUGGGGAAUAUUGGACAAUGGGGGCAACCCUGAUCCAGCAAUGCCGCGUGUGUGAAGAAGGCCUGCGGGUUGUAAAGCACUUUCAGCGGAGAAGAAAAAAUCGGAGCUAACAUCUCCGUCUUGACGUAUCCGAGAA